UACGAAGGGGGCUAGCGUUGCUCGGAAUGACUGGGCGUAAAGGGCGCGUAGGCGGAUUGUCCAGUCAGGCGUGAAAUUCCCGGGCUCAACCUGGGGGCUGCGCUUGAGACGUGCGAUCUUGAGUGGGGAAGAGGGUCGUGGAAUUCCCAGUGUAGAGGUGAAAUUCGUAGAUAUUGGGAAGAACACCGGUGGCGAAGGCGGCGACCUGGUCCUUGACUGACGCUGAGGCGCGAAAGCGUGGGGAGCGAACAGG
rnacentral:rRNA from 1 species